rnacentral:misc_RNA from 1 species
UACGAAGGGGGCUAGCGUUGUUCGGAUUUACUGGGCGUAAAGCGCACGUAGGCGGAACGUUAAGUCAGAGGCGAAAUCCUGGGGCUCAACUCCAGAACUGCCUUUAAUACUGGCAAUCUAGAGUCCGGAAGAGGUGAGUGGAACUCCUAGUGUAGAGGUGGAAUUCGUAGAUAUUAGGAAGAACACCAGUGGCGAAGGCGGCUUACUGGUCCGGAACUGACGCUGAGGUGCGAAAGCGUGGGUAGCGAACAGG